CCAAUAGCGUAUAUUAAAGUUGUUGCAGUUAAAAAGCUCGUAGUUGAAUUUCGGGAUCAAUUUAUUGGUCGUGCCAACGGUACGCACUGGUACAAUUGGUUUCUCCCUUCUGACGAAGCAUGAUGUCAUUAACUUGAUGUCGUGGGGAAUCAGGACUGUUACUUUGAAAAAAUUAGAGUGUUUAAAGCAGGCUUUGGCUUGAAUACAUUAGCAUGGAAUAAUGAAAUAGGACGUUUGAUCUUAUUUCGUUGGUUUCUAAGAUCGACGUAAUGAUUAAUAGGGAUAGUUGGGGGCAUUAGUAUUCAAUUGUCAGAGGUGAAAUUCUUGGAUUUAUUGAAGACUAACUACUGCGAAAGCAUUUGCCAAGGAUGUUUUCAUUAAUCAAGAACGAAAGUUAGGGGAUCGAAGACGAUCAGAUACCGUCGUAGUCUUAACCAUAAACUAUGCCGACUAGGGAUCGGAUGAUGUUAAUUUUUUAAUGACUCAUUCGGCGCCUUACG
rnacentral:rRNA from 1 species